CCUACGGGUGGCAGCAGUGAGGAAUAUUGGUCAAUGGGCGCGAGCCUGAACCAGCCAAGUAGCGUGAGGGAUGAAGGUUCUAUGGAUCGUAAACCUCUUUUAUAAGGGAAUAAAGUGUGGGACGUGUCCUGUUUUGUAUGUACCUUAUGAAUAAGGAUCGGCUAACUCCGUGCCAGCAGCCGCGGUAAUACGGAGGAUCCGAGCGUUAUCCGGAUUUAUUGGGUUUAAAGGGUGCGUAGGCGGCCUUUUAAGUCAGCGGUGAAAGUCUGUGGCUCAACCAUAGAAUUGCCGUUGAAACUGGGAGGCUUGAGUAUGUUUGAGGCAGGCGGAAUGCGUGGUGUAGCGGUGAAAUGCUUAGAUAUCACGCAGAACCCCGAUUGCGAAGGCAGCCUGCCAAGCCAUGACUGACGCUGAUGCACGAAAGCGUGGGGAUCAAACAGGAUUAGAUACCCCAGUAGUC
rnacentral:rRNA from 1 species